GGCACCGUAGCUCAGUUGGUUAGAGCGCGCCUCUCAUAAGGGCGAGGUCGGCGGUUCGAAUCUGCUCGGUGCUA
rnacentral:tRNA from 2 species